rnacentral:rRNA from 1 species
UACGUAGGGGGCAAGCGUUAUCCGGAUUUACUGGGUGUAAAGGGAGCGUAGACGGUGAGACAAGUCUGAAGUGAAAGCCCGGGGCUCAACCCCGGGACUGCUUUGGAAACUGCCUGACUGGAGUGCUGGAGAGGCAAGCGGAAUUCCUAGUGUAGCGGUGAAAUGCGUAGAUAUCACGCAGAACUCCGAUUGCGAAGGCAGCAUACCGGCGCCCAACUGACGCUGAAGCACGAAAGCGUGGGUAUCGAACAGG